UACAUGGGGUGCAAACGUUGCUCGGAAUCAUUGGGCGUAAAGCGCGCGUAGGCGGUUGCUUAAGUCGGAUGUGAAAACCCGAGGCUCAACCUCGGGCCUGCAUUCGAUACGGGCUGGCUAGAGUACUGCAGGGGAGACUGGAAUUCCUGGUGUAGCGGUGAAAUGCGCAGAUAUCAGGAGGAACACCGGUGGCGAAGGCGGGUCUCUGGGCAGUAACUGACGCUGAGGAGCGAAAGCGUGGGGAGCGAACAGG
rnacentral:rRNA from 1 species